ACUACGGGUGGCAGCAGUGAGGAAUAUUUGUCAAUGGGCGUAAGCCUGAACCAGCCAAGUCGCGUGAGGGAUGAAGGUUCUAUGGAUCGUAAACCUCUUUUAUAAGGGAAUAAAGUGUGGGACGUGUCCUGUUUUGUAUGUACCUUAUGAAUAAGGAUCGGCUAACUCCGUGCCAGCAGCCGCGGUAAUACGGAGGAUCCGAGAGUUAUCCGGCGUGAUUGGGUUUAAAGGGUGCGUAGGCGGCCUUUUAAGUCAUCGGUGAAAGUCUGUGGCUCAACCAUAGAAUUGCCAGUGAAACUGGGAGGCUUGAGUAUGUUUGAGGCAGGCGGAAUGCGUGGUGUAGCGGUGAAAUGCUUAGAUAUCACGCAGAACCCCGAUUGCGAAGGCAGCCUGCCAAGCCAUGACUGACGCUGAUGCACGAAAGCGUGGGGAUCAAACAGGAUUAGAUACCCGGGUAGUC
rnacentral:rRNA from 1 species